UACGUAGGGAGCAAGCGUUGUCCGGAAUCAUUGGGCGUAAAGCGCGCGUAGGCGGCCCCGUAAGUCCGCUGUGAAAGUCAAAGGCUCAACCUUUGAAAGCCGGUGGAUACUGUGGGGCUAGAGUCCGGAAGAGGCGAGUGGAAUCCUGGUGUAGCGGUGGAAUGCGCAGAUAUCAGGAGGAACACCGGUGGCGAAGGCGGGUCUCUGGGCAAGCAACUGACGCUGAGGAGCGAAAGCGUGGG
rnacentral:rRNA from 1 species